rnacentral:lncRNA from 1 species
AUGUGAAUGUUAUUCCUAAUUAUAUAUGAUUUGAUUAUGAUAUAUAUGAAUGAAUAUUCAAGUAUGAUUGCAUUAAGAAAAGCUGUAAAGUCCUUUGAUAAAUAAUAGAAACAUGUGUACAAGGACUUAGAAUGAAUUGAUCAAGUAUGUUAGGUUGAUCCUACAUAAGCAAAACAGCUUUGUAAAGUCCUUAAAAAGAAAUGAUGUACAAGG